rnacentral:rRNA from 1 species
UAGGGAAUCUUCGGCAAUGGACGAAAGUCUGACCGAGCAACGCCGCGUGAGUGAAGAAGGUUUUCGGAUCGUAAAACUCUGUUGUUAGAGAAGGACAAGGACGUUAGUAACUGAACGUCCCCUGACGGUAUCUAACCAGAAAGCCACGGCUAACUACGUGCCAGCAGCCGCGGUAAUACGUAGGUGGCAAGCGUUGUCCGGAUUUAUUGGGCGUAAAGCGAGCGCAGGCGGUUUCUUAAGUCUGAUGUGAAAGCCCCCGGCUCAACCGGGGAGGGUCAUUGGAAACUGGGAGACUUGAGUGCAGAAGAGGAGAGUGGAAUUCCAUGUGUAGCGGUGAAAUGCGUAGAUAUAUGGAGGAACACCAGUGGCGAAGGCGGCUCUCUGGUCUGUAACUGACGCUGAGGCUCGAAAGCGUGGGGAGCAAACAGG